ACUUUUGACUAGACUGCAUUGCUCAAGACCCCAUCCAACCUGGCCUUGAAGUCUCUUGUCUGACAGCACAAGCAGAUGCUCUCCUGGAGCUGGGCACCUCAAGCCCUGUGGGCUGAGUCCUGACUUCUCCACAUGGGAGCAUGGAACCAUCCCUUGUUCGGCACUGUUUGGAGGGCUGGCUGGAAUUCACCAUCUGGAUAUUUAGCUCUCUGCAGGGAGCUGGUCUUCCUGGCCCAGUCUCCUCUUUAGGGUCAGCUAAGGACAUCUUCUGGAUCCCAUUUAAAGGUGGGAGACGGCAUGGCAUGUUUGGAAGCCCAAAUCUUCAGCCCUUUGAGAAAGGGGUGUUUGAAGGAUCCUAUGGAAGAAGCUCUGGGAAACCCAGCAUCCUUUGCCAGCUCUCCUUCUGUCAGCUCCUAACAGCAGUGGCCAGAAAUACAGCCCAGUGCGGGAUGUCUUGGUCAUGGAACGCUGAAUGACAGUGUCACCAGCUGGUUUAAAACUCUUCCCUGAUACCUGAGAAACAGACAUUCCUUCUUAAGGGUGCGAGCGGG